CUGCUACAAGGCAGAGAGAGAGAGAGAGAGAGAGAGAGAGAGAGAGAGAGGUGUUUUAUUUUAAAUUUAAAUAUAAAUUUUUAAAAUUUAUAAAUUAAAAUUUUUAAUUUUUAAAGUUUAAAUUUUAAAUUUGAUAUUUUUAGUUUUUAAAUUUUAUAAAUUUGUUAUUUUAUAUCUUUGAAUUUUAAUUUGGUUUUAACUUUGAAAUUUAAAAUUAAAUUAUUGAAAAUUUAAAAUUUAAUUUUAAAAUUUAAAACUUAAAACUUUAGGACUUUAAUUUAAAAUUAUAUAUUUAAAAUUUAAAAAUAUAAUUUCAAUUAUAGGGGUAAUAUUAUUAUUUUCUAUUUAUAACUACUAACUAUUCCUCUUAUUCCCAAAAACCAUCCAAACGCAAUUUUUCUAGUUCCAGCUUAUACUCACAAUUUCACCCAAACAAAAAAAUACUCUUGUUCCUACAAAAAUCCAUACUUGUACCUAUCCCCGGUAUAACUAGUUCCUACUAAUUCCCGAACCAAAUGGAGCCUUAAAAAAUAAAAUAUUAAUACUAAAUAAAUAACUCACGGCAUAAAAUCAAAUAACACUAAGAUAAAAAAAAAAGAAGGCACUAUACUAUUGAGAAGGAACCGCAUCCCCGCACAGAGACCGUAGGCUCUUCUUUGAUAUCUGCGGUGGUGAAACUGCAGUUACUGCACGCCACUGCUGCCCACUUCCAUCGCCACCUCGUUCUCUAACCCGCUACCACCGCCACCAUCGGACGCUAUGCGUUAUUUCUGGGUUGAGAAGGAUGAGACAGAAGAGAAGGCGGAGGGGCCGGUGGAAAAAAAAAGAGAAUUUGAGAGAGGAGUGGAAGGGGCGUAUGGGAUGGACUAAAAAAAUUGAGAGGGAGGAGACAGAGGGACGUUUGGGAGGAGGG
rnacentral:lncRNA from 1 species